rnacentral:miRNA from 1 species
AUCUCACUUCCUUUAUUCUUCCAUUUAUAUAUAUAUAUAUAUAUAUAUAAAUGGAAGAAUAAAGGAAGUGAUUA